UCACGUAACUCGUUUCUCCUUCACGUGAACUGCUACCCUCAGACUUUGCAGCCGCCAGCCACCACACACCUUCCGAACCGCCGUCCCUGCGCCACCGCUGCCCAACCGCCGGUAACUCCUCCUCCUUUUCCUUCUUCUUUCUUUUCUAUUUCAUUCGCUCCUUGCUGUUUCGUUCUCGUUCUCACGAUUACUUCGCUUUCCUCCUCCUCACUCGGUUCCGUUUGCUGCGACAACCGCCACCACCACCUGAUCGCCGCUGCUGAGCCACCCCCUUGCCAUGCCGUUGAGACGUCGCCCGCCACCACCACCACGCUGCCACCAGCGCACCUCCGUGUGCAACCCUGCCGCCCAGCCACGCCUCCAGCCGUGCCCUCGUCCGCCGGCAGACCUCCUCUCUCCUCUUUACUUGGAGGAGAAUUCUCUGUAGACGAGAUUUGAAAGUGUUAAAGUGGCCUAUUAGUUGUUUAUACAAGUCUCUAAGGAUCAAUAAGCAUUGUCCAUCUGCAGGUUUGAAGAUGUUGCAUCAUUGGGAUCGGGAUUAGAGAGCUUGUAUUUAGUUUUGUUUUGCUAAGUGACUUGGUUUGUUAAUUUAGACUUGAAACUUGUCAUACAAUUUAUAUUUCCUUAUUUUCGUUAAUUGUUUUUUUGGAUUUAAUAUGUAAUUAAUUAUUUAUAAACCUAAAAGUUAAUUUAUGU